GGAGAUAUAACUCAGUGGUAGAGCACCUGCUUAGCAUGCACAAGGUCCUGGGUUCAAUUCCCUGUACCUCCA
rnacentral:tRNA from 1 species